AAAAAACGAAACCAAACCAAAUCAAAACAAAAAAACUUUUUGAGGCAUACAGAUCUUCUCCUUGAAAGAUUCAUUUCACUCCUAAGAUGAGGAAAACACACUUUAAAUCCCACAGUUGAUGACUGAAGACCGUACUUUUAUGGUUUCAUUGUAGACAAAACUGAGAAAGACUGAGUGGCAGCCUAAGAGAGGAAGCAACAAGGUUGCAACACUCACUGCAGUGCAGUCUGGCUCAAAGUGUGACAACAGAAAUGUUCUUUCAUGUGCAAC
rnacentral:lncRNA from 1 species